rnacentral:lncRNA from 1 species
GUAGAAUGUGUGGUUUGGGGUAAAGUAGGUAGAAUGUGUGGUUUGUGGUAAAGUAGGUAGAAUGUGUGGUUUGGGGUAAAGUAGGUAGAAUGUGUGGUUUGGGGUAAAGUAGGUAGAAUGCGUGGUUUGGGGUAAAGUAGGUAGAAUGUGUGGUUUGGGGUAAAGAAGGUAGAAUGUGUGGUUUGGGGUAAAGAAGGUAGAAUGUGUGGUUUGUGGUAAAGUAGGAAGAAUGUGUGGUUUGGGGUAAAGAAGGUAGAAUGUGUGGUUUGUGGUAAAGAAGGUAGAAUGUGUGGUUUGGGGUAAAGAAGGUAGAAUGUGUGGUUUGUGGUAAAGAAGGUAGAAUGUGUGGUUUGUGGUAAAGUAGGUAGAAUGUGUGGUUUGUGGUAAAGUAGGUAGAAUGUGUGUUUGUGGUAAAGUAGGUAGAAUGUGUGGUUUGGGUAAAGUAGGUAGAAUGUGUGGUUUGGGUAAAAAUGGUAGAAUGUGUGGUUUGCGGUAAAGAAGGUAGAAUGUGUGCUUUGGGUAAAAAUGGUAGAAUGUGUGGUUUGUGGUAAAGUAGGUAGAAUCUGUGGUUUGGGGUAAAGUACGUAGAAUGUGUGGUUUGGGGUAAAGUACGUAGAAUGUGUGGUUUGGGGUAAAGUAGGUAGAAUGUGUGGUUUGUGGUAAAGAAGGUAGAAUGUGUGGUUUGGGGUAAAGAAGGUAGAAUGUGUGGUUUGGGGUAAAGUAGGUAGAAUGUGUGGUUUGGGGUAAAGUAGGUAGAAUGUGUGGUUUGGGUUAAAGUAGGUAGAAUACGUGGUUUGGGGUAAAGAAGGUAGAAUGUGUGGUUUGGGGUAAAGAAGGUAGAAUGUGUGGUUUGUGGUAAAGAAGGUAGAAUGUGUGGUUUGGGGUAAAGAAGGUAGAAUGUGUGGUUUGGGGUAAAGUAGGUAGAAUGUGUGGUUUGGGGUAAAGUAGGUAGAAUGUGUGGUUUAGGGUAAAGUAGGUAGAAUGUGUGGUUUGGGUUAAAGUAGGUGAAUGUGUGGUUUGGGUUAAAGUAGGUUGAAUGUGUGGUUUGUGGUAAAGAAGGUACAAUGUGUGGUUUGGGGUAAAGUAGGUAGAAUGUGUGGUUUGGGUUAAAGUAGGUAGAAUACGUGGUUUGGGUUAAAGUAGGUAGAAUACGUGGUUUGGGGUAAAGAAGGUAGAGUGUGUGGUUUGGGGUAAAGAAGGUAGAAUGUGUGGUUUGUGGUAAAGAAGGUAGAAUGUGUGGUUUAGGGUAAAGAAGGUAGAAUGUGUGGUUUGGGGUAAAGAAGGUAGAAUGUGUGGUUUGUGGUAAAGAAGGUAGAAUGUGUGGUUUUGGGUAAAGAAGGUAGAAUGUGUGGUUUGUGGUAAAGUAGGUAGAAUGUGUGGUUUGGGGUAAAGAAGGUAGAAUGUGUGGUUUGUGGUAAAGAAGGUAGAAUGUGUGGUUUUGGGUAAAGAAGGUAGAAUGUGUGGUUUGUGGUAAAGUAGGUAGAAUGUGUGGUUUUGGGUAAAGAAGGUAGAAUGUGUGGUUUGUGGUAAAGUAGGUAGAAUGUGUGGUUUGGGGUAAAGAAGGUAGAAUGUGUGGUUUGUGGUAAAGUAGGUAGAAUGUGUGGUUUGUGGUAAAGAAGGUAGAAUGCGUGGUUUGGG